AACGAACGCUGGCGGCAUGCCUAACACAUGCAAGUCGAACGAGAUCUUCGGGUCUAGUGGCGCACGGGUGCGUAACGCGUGGGAAUCUGCCCUUUGGUUCGGAAUAACAGUUGGAAACGACUGCUAAUACCGGAUGAUGACGAAAGUCCAAAGAUUUAUCGCCAGAGGAUGAGCCCGCGUAUGAUUAGCUAGUUGGUGUGGGAAAGGCGCACCAAGGCGACGAACCUUAGCUGGUCUGCGAGGAUGCGCAGCCACACUGGGACUGAGACACGGCCCAGACGCCUACGGGAGGAAGCAGUGGGGAAGAUUGGACAAUGGGCGAAAGCCUGAUCCAGCAAUGCCGCGUGAGUGAUUAAGGCCUUAGGGUUGUAAAGCUCUUUUACCCGGGAUGAUAAUGACAGUACCGGGAGAAUAAGCUCCGGCUAACUCCGUGCCAGCCGCCGCCGUAA
rnacentral:rRNA from 1 species